rnacentral:lncRNA from 1 species
UAAAAGUGUAAAACAUACUAUUUAACAAAAAUCAAGAGAUUGUCUCAACUUAAUCCAUAACUUAAAAUUAACAUAACAACAAAAUAUUGUCAAUUAUCAAGUUAUUUAAUUAAGUUAGCUAUCUCUUCCACAUCUUCUACAUCUUCUUCAACUUCUUCCAAAUCUUCAAACUCUUCCUCAAAUAUCACACCUUCAAUUUGAGGUUCAUCUAUUGAAAGCUCGGUUAGAUCAUUAGUUGUCUCAUCAAUAUCAAAUCGAUCUCCAC